AUGAACGCUAGCUACAGGCUUAACACAUGCAAGUCAGGGGCAGCAUGAAGAUGUGCUUGCACAACUUUGAUGGCGACCGGCGCACGGGUGAGUAACGCGUAUCCAACCUUCCCUAUAGUAGAGAAUAGCCCGGCGAAAGUCGGAUUAAUGCUCUAUGUGUUCUAUUGAUGGCAUCAGAGAUUGAACAAGAAUUUCGCUAUAGGAUGGGGAUGCGUCUGAUUAGCUUGUUGGCGGGGUAACGGCCCACCAAGGCAACGAUCAGUAGGGGUUCUGAGAGGAAGGUCCCCCACAUUGGUACUGAGACACGGACCAAACUCCUACGGGAGGCAGCAGUGAGGAAUAUUGGUCAAUGGGCGCAAGCCUGAACCAGCCAAGUAGCGUGCAGGACGACUGCCCUAUGGGUUGUAAACUGCUUUUAUAGGGGAAUAAAGUGAGGUAUGCAUACCUUUUUGUAUGUACCCUAUGAAUAAGGACCGGCUAAUUCCGUGCCAGCCGCUGC
rnacentral:rRNA from 1 species